rnacentral:rRNA from 1 species
GACGAACCUUGGCGGCGUGCUUAACACAUGCAAGUCGAACGGAAAGGCCCUGCUUUUGUGGGGUGCUCGAGUGGCGAACGGGUGAGUAACACGUGAGUAACCUGCCCUUGACUUUGGGAUAACUUCAGGAAACUGGGGCUAAUACCGGAUAGGAGCUCCUGCUGCAUGGUGGGGGUUGGAAAGUUUCGGCGGUUGGGGAUGGACUCGCGGCUUAUCAGCUUGUUGGUGGGGUAGUGGCUUACCAAGGCUUUGACGGGUAGCCGGCCUGAGAGGGUGACCGGCCACAUUGGGACUGAGAUACGGCCCAGACUCCUACGGGAGGCAGCAGUGGGGAAUAUUGCACAAUGGGCGGAAGCCUGAUGCAGCAACGCCGCGUGCGGGAUGACGGCCUUCGGGUUGUAAACCGCUUUCGCCUGUGACGAAGCGUGAGUGACGGUAAUGGGUAAAGAAGCACCGGCUAACUACGUGCCAGCAGCCGCGGUGAUACGUAGGGUGCGAGCGUUGUCCGGAUUUAUUGGGCGUAAAGGGCUCGUAGGUGGUUGAUCGCGUCGGAAGUGUAAUCUUGGGGCUUAACCCUGAGCGUGCUUUCGAUACGGGUUGACUUGAGGAAGGUAGGGGAGAAUGGAAUUCCUGGUGGAGCGGUGGAAUGCGCAGAUAUCAGGAGGAACACCAGUGGCGAAGGCGGUUCUCUGGGCCUUUCCUGACGCUGAGGAGCGAAAGCGUGGGGAGCGAACAGGCUUAGAUACCCUGGUAGUCCACGCUGUAAACGGUGGGUACUAGGUGUGGGGUCCAUUCCACGGGUUCCGUGCCGUAGCUAACGCUUUAAGUACCCCGCCUGGGGAGUACGGCCGCAAGGCUAAAACUCAAAGGAAUUGACGGGGCCCCGCACAAGCGGCGGAGCAUGCGGAUUAAUUCGAUGCAACGCGUAGAACCUUACCUGGGUUUGACAUGGAUCGGGAGUGCUCAGAGAUGGGUGUGCCUCUUUUGGGGUCGGUUCACAGGUGGUGCAUGCCUGUCGUCAGCUCGUGUCGUGAGAUGUUGGGUUAAGUCCCGCAACGAGCGCAACCCUUGUUCACUGUUGCCAGCACGUUAUGGUGGGAACUCGGUGGAGGCCGCCGGGGUCAACUCGGAGGAAGGUGGGGAUGACGUCAAGUCCUCAUGCCCCUUAUGUCCAGGGCUUCACGCAUGCUACAAUGGCUGGUACAGAGAGUGGCGAGCCUGUGAGGGUGAGCGAAUCUCGGAAAGCCGGUCUCAGUUCGGAUUGGGGCCUGCAACUCGACCUCAUGAAGUCGGAGUCGCUAGUAAUCGCAAAUGAGCAACGCUGCGGUGAAUACGUUCCCGGGGC